rnacentral:rRNA from 1 species
GUGACGAAGCGACGCCGCGUGGGUGAAGAAGGCCUUCGGGUUGUAAAGCCCUGUCAGGAGUUAUGAAAUGUAGGUGCGAUAAUACCGUGCCUAUUUGACAAAGGCUCCAAAGGAAGCCACGGCUAACUCUGUGCCAGCAGCCGCGGUAAUACAGAGGUGGCAAGCGUUGUUCGGAAUUAUUGGGCGUAAAGAGCACGUAGGUGGAUUUGUAAGUCAGGUGUGAAAGCCUUCUGUUCAACGGAAGAAUUGCAUCUGAAACUGCAAACCUUGAGUGUAGGAGGGGAGAAUGGAACUUCUGGUGGAGCGGUGAAAUGCGUAGAUAUCAGAAGGAACGCCGGCGGCGAAAGCGAUUCUCUGGCCUAUUACUGACACUGAGUGUGCGAAAGCUAGGGGAGCAAACGGGAUUAGAUACCCCGGUAGUCCUAGCCGUAAACGAU